rnacentral:rRNA from 1 species
UACGGGGGGGGCAAGCGUUGUUCGGAAUUACUGGGCGUAAAGGGCUCGUAGGCGGCCAACUAAGUCAGACGUGAAAUCCCUCGGCUUAACCGGGGAACUGCGUCUGAUACUGGAUGGCUUGAGGUUGGGAGAGGGAUGCGGAAUUCCAGGUGUAGCGGUGAAAUGCGUAGAUAUCGUGAGGAACACCAGAGGCGAAGGCGACUUCCUGGACAAUUGCUGACACUCAGGCACGAAAGCGUGGGUAGCCAAAGGG